rnacentral:lncRNA from 1 species
AACAAGGCUGAGGAUGAGUUGAAAGAAAUCUCUUCCGAAGUCAUGAUUGAAGACUCUUUGAUGGUUAGUUUGUCUGCUCAGAUGAAGGAACUUCAAGCCAAAAUAGACGACUGCAAGGCGAGAAUGUCUGUUAAAAAACAUAACGCCUCCUAGGGAAUUGAGCGAACUAAGUCCUUGGUUGAGCAGUACAAGAAGUUGGAAGUUGAUGAUAAUGUUGUGGCCGAAUUGAACAUCACUUCCUCUCGGCAGAAUGAGGAUUGGGAAAAACUUAGGGAAUGAAUUCGUUCGGUGUGGGGUGGACUGUAAUUAAGACAUAUGACACUUUUUUCUUUUGUAAUUUCGCAUUUGAUUUUCCCUUUGUAACCUUGUUCAUUAUUAAUGAACAUAUAUGUUAACUUCUUG